CAUCAUCUCAGAACUGCAGAGAGGGAAGGACUCUGAUCGCUCAUAGAGUCAAGCCUCUGUCAAAGAGGCACAGUGGGGAAUUGAACACCCAACACUGAGCAGUCCCAGCUAUCCUUGUUCUUUCAAGAUUUUUGUUUUCUACUUUUUUUAUCAUUAAAAACCACAGUCCUAUCCGGGAUGAGCAUAGAACUGGGUGCACUUUGGAAAUCCAUACAUUGCCAAGCUACUGAUGUGUUCUCUAAAGUACAAGGUGCUGCAAUAGUCAAACCUGAGUUGUUGCCAAACCAUGGAUAACUGUAGAGUUUGUUGAAUUUUUUUAAAUACAGCACUUCCAUUCAAAUACUGCACUUCAGAUGAAUCUGGAAUUCAAGAUGCCAAACCAAUGGAAUCAUUUGCCGUGGAUUUUGCUGGAGUUUACUACUUCAAACAGCAGUGCCAUGCCCUUGGAGUCUGGACCAAGAAGAGGACAAUCCUCAAGACUGCGGAUGGAGAACAGUGUGGCCCAAAACUGGAAAGAAGCUCCCCCACAUGCAAGAUAUGUGCUGUGCCACUCACUUGUAGCCCUUCUGCUAAGAGCUAUCAUGUCUGCACUGGAAGGAGUCUCAAAAACCAAGGCUGGAAUAGCUAGUAACUGCCAGGAUAGUCAGAGAAAAAUAAAGUUAUGGAAAAUGCCCUUCAUUUGUAUAAUUUAUACAGCUUAUAUACAUUUAGCUUUCUCCUUUGUAUAGGACAGACCACACAAAGGGUUGAAGUAGAUGUGAUUUAAAGCCAUUAUUAAAAUACAUGCUUAGAGUGACCACAUUUCUUUUCUUUAUUUUUAUAAUACAACUGUGGAUCAUGAUUGUGGUCUGGGAAAAGGUUUUUCAGCCAAUCCCCUCUCUGUUUUGUUGCUCAAAAUCCUAGGUUCAAAAUGGCUCUUUGCCCUCAUGCAAGAGCUUUUACAAUUCAGGCAAAUAACUCUGUGUGUGUGUGCGUGUGUGCGUGUGUGUGCGUGCGCGCGCUCCUGCCCUCCUGUUCUUUGUAAGGACAAAAUCAUGGCCAGUCAUUGUGUGUUGCUUAAUCACACUUGCUUAAAGCCACAAUUAACUGGACUCUUCACAAAUACUGAAAAAUGUCUUCUAAUGGCAACCUUCCCCUCUCAUAAGCGAGUAAUAAAUAAAUAAAUAACACGAAUUGCUUUCGCA
rnacentral:lncRNA from 1 species